UACGUAGGGUGCGAGCGUUACUCGGAAUUACUGGGCGUAAAGCGUGCGCAGGCGGUUUUUCAAGACCGAUGUGAAAUCCCCGGGCUUAACCUGGGAAUGGCAUUGGUGACUGGAAGGCUAGAGUGUGUCAGAGGGGGGUAGAAUUCCACGUGUAGCAGUGAAAUGCGUAGAGAUGUGGAGGAAUACCGAUGGCGAAGGCAGCCCCCCGGGAUAACACUGACGCUCAUGCACGAAAGCGUGGGGAGCAAACAGG
rnacentral:rRNA from 1 species